GAAAAUGUCUCCACGCGGCAGCUGUAGAGCACGGACCGUUUCCCAGGUCUCUCCUCCCCUGUUGUUGGUGCCUGAAGAAGCCUAAAAAGCUACAGAAAAGCCAAGAAAUGUAUCCUAAGUACUGCAUUAAAAUGAAACAUCCCAAGAGACAGUAUGUCUGGGCAAAAAGGUUCUUAUGAAAACUCAGACUCUGGAAUCUGUCAAGCCUACAUUGACUUAUAUAAACAACUGACAGUUUUGAAAACUAUCUUUAAAGUGAUGGAGACAAGGUACUUGGAGGACUAAGGUUCCCCCUUAACUAUAACAAAAGCUUCAGAAUGCCUUGGAAUACAAGUC